UCUCAUUCACUCAUCUUGUUCAAGAUUUACUUUUUCUUUCUUGUUGUUUCGAAGAAUAGUGUAUUCUUAUUGUUUUGGAGUUUUCUAAAUUAGAGUUUUCUCUAUUUAUCCGUUCUUGUAAGUUUUGUUUGCAUCCUUCUAAUUAUUUUCUUAUUUUUGGAUUUUAUUUCAGGUUACCGACAGAUCCAUCUUCAUGUUACAAGCAAAUGUACGAGCUAUGGUUAAAGAUGGAGCAAGGACUAAAUCGUAGGCAAGGAAUGACAUGAGGAUGAAGCUAUAAUAUUUUUGAAUCGUAGUACAUGAAAGGUUCAAUUCAUAAUUUGAUAUCAUACAUGGUCUUGCUUAUGGUAGGUAUUGUUUCAUGUAAAACACAUACGAGAAGCAAAUAGAGAUGUUCAGUGAAAUGGUUUAUGAAAAACUGAGAUAUUCAAUCACAAUUUCAACUCUAAAAGAUUUGAUCAACAAUAAUACUGGAACAUGAAUUUCAUAGGCAUUCUGGAAUUGAAGAAAAUGGUCUGUUGUGUCUCAACGAGUAGUCGAAGUACUUGUAGCAGCAAGAGAAACAGAGAUAUGAUCACUCCAUCUUGCGUCCCCCGAUCUUUCCAAUCUUAAAAGGAGGAUUAGAGAUUGUCCGCGUUCUUUCCAAUUUUAAGUCAUUGAGGCAAGAUGAGGCGACAAGGAAGAAAUAUGUUGAACAUAUUAAGAAUGAGAUACGAUCAUGCUAUGCCUAUAAUGAGUUUCUAAUCGGUACUUUAGUGGAGGUUGAAAUAAUUAUAUUAUUACUACCUCUCUUUUGAACUUUAAUUCCAUUGAGCACUCUGUCCAAUUUUUAUCAGUUAACUCUCUAUACAGGUCUCUGGAAAAUAGAGUUUUGUUUUGUUGACUUUUAGUUAGGGAUUCAUCGAAACUGAUUCUCAAGUACCAAUUGGUGUCACUCCAUAGUAUAUGGUAGGUUUUUACAUGGUAAGUGGUUUUCUGUAGUAGCAGUUCUUCGUUGCAUUUCAUUUAGGAUUACAAAUUACACUCAGUUUUGUGUUUUUUUUAAAACUUUUUGUAGAUACUAAGAUGGGGUUUCUCUCAUCCUAAUGUUUAAGAAUUUGUAAUGUUUGUAGGACCGGAAUAAGAUGGUUUCAACCGUACAUUACUUCCAGAAAUAUAAUGUGUGUUUAGUAAAAAUAUUAUGUGUAGAAUCGUUUUGGCCAAGGGUAGAUUUUAUGUUUUUUUUAUGGGAUCUAUUUAAUUAAAAGUUCUUAGAAUAAUAUUUAAUAUCCAACUAUUCAAUUGAUACUGUUACAAUUUAAUAUUUAUUUUCACAAGGAUUGACAUAGUAGCUUCAUCCUCAUGUCAUUCAAUGCAUGUUGCUGGUAUGUUCAUCAUAUUAUAUUAUGGUGUAUUCACUAUAAUAUUUUUGAAUGAUUUAAUGUGUUAUUUAUAGCUUGAUUGAAAUAUCAAUGAAUGACCAUAUGAUUUCUAAUUAAUAUGACAGGUUUAGUGCAUGUAUUGCCUAUGUGUUAUACAACUAUUGUCUUUUUAAUAUGACAGGUUCAUGUUUUGUUUUCAUGUCUUUUUGCAGAUCAAGAGUGGUUCCUGUUCCACUGAAUUUCUCCAUAAUGUGCAAAAGUUUGCUUCUUGGGGCAAUAGGAUAAUGACAAAAUUGCCUUAUACUUAACUUAACAACUGUGAUUGUAUAAUAUUAAGGCCUUUUGAAUCUGAUGAUUUUGUGUUCUUUUGGAAUUGUAUGGUGCUGUUAUGCAGAUGUGGAUCUCAGAUUUUGGGGUAUAUUAGUAUUAAUUAUAGUUCUCCAACACUUGUUAAAGAUGGAAAAGUUAGCUAUAAAGAGUAGAAGUAGCAAUGCUAAGGUAAUGGGAAGCAUAAUAUCAAUAGCAGGUGCUUUUGUCUUGACUUUCUACAAAGGAAAAUCCAUCUUGAAUUCCUCAUCACUUCAUCAAUCAAAUGAAUUUCUCAAGUCAGGGGAUUCAAGUUGGGCCAUUGCUUGCAUUAUGCUAAUAGUGGACUAUUUUCUGGUUUCUCUAUGGUACAUUUUACAGGUCCAUAUGAAGGAGUUCCCAUAUGAACUAAGUUUAGUCUUGUUAUACUCCAUUAGUGCAACCAUAAUAUCAACAUUUGUAGCUUUGUUAUCAGUUCCAAAUGCAAGUGCUUGGAAAAUAGGACUAAAUCUCUCACUCAUCUCCAUUGUUUCCUCUGUAAGUUGUACUGCAAAUAGGAUUAAAGGAUUGAGCAUUGCAUUUGAAACUGCUCUUUACUGCAAACAAGUUCUUUAGCUUGUUCUUUUUGUUUAACUUAUAUUUAUAUGUAUUUUUUUAGAUUGAAGAAAAAGAGUCUCCAUUGGUUCUAUAUUCAUGAGUAAUUCAAUUGUAAAUUAAUUAAUUCCCAUUAAUUUUUUUUUGCUUUUGAUUUGUA